rnacentral:rRNA from 1 species
UUGCCUACGGGGCGCAGCAGUGGGGAAUAUUGCACAAUGGGGGAAACCCUGAUGCAGCGACGCCGCGUGAGCGAUGAAGUAUUUCGGUAUGUAAAGCUCUAUCAGCAGGGAAGAAGAUGACGGUACCUGACUAAGAAGCCCCGGCUAACUACGUGCCAGCAGCCGCGGUAAUACGUAGGGGGCAAGCGUUAUCCGGAUUUACUGGGUGUAAAGGGAGCGUAGACGGCAAUGCAAGUCCGGAGUGGAAUGCGGCAGCUCAACUGCCGAACUGCUCUGGAAACUGUAUGGCGUGAGUGCAGGAGGGG